rnacentral:rRNA from 1 species
UGCCAGCAGCCGCGGUAAUACGGAGGGGGUUAGCGUUGUUCGGAAUUACUGGGCGUAAAGCGUACGUAGACGGAUUAAUAAGUUAGAGGUGAAAUCCCAGGGCUCAACCCUGGAACUGCCUUUAAAACUUUUCAGCUAGAGUUCGAGAGAGGUGAGUGGAAUUCCGAGUGUAGAGGUGAAAUUCGUAGAUAUUUGGAGGAACACCAGUGGCGAAGGCGGCUCACUGGCUCGAUACUGACGCUGAGGUGCGAAAGUGUGGGGAGCAAACAGGAUUAGAUA